rnacentral:rRNA from 1 species
GACGAACGCUGGCGGCGUGCCUAAUACAUGCAAGUAGAACGCUGAAGGAGGAGCUUGCUCUUCUGGAUGAGUUGCGAACGGGUGAGUAACGCGUAGGUAACCUGCCUGGUAGCGGGGGAUAACUAUUGGAAACGAUAGCUAAUACCGCAUAACAGUAGAUGUUGCAUGACAUUUGCUUAAAAGGUGCAAUUGCACCACUACCAGAUGGACCUGCGUUGUAUUAGCUAGUUGGUGGGGUAACGGCUCACCAAGGCGACGAUACAUAGCCGACCUGAGAGGGUGAUCGGCCACACUGGGACUGAGACACGGCCCAGCCUCCUACGGGAGGCAGCAGUAGGGAAUCUUCGGCAAUGGACGGAAGUCUGACCGAGCAACGCCGCGUGAGUGAAGAAGGUUUUCGGAUCGUAAAGCUCUGUUGUAAGAGAAGAACGAGUGUGAGAGUGGAAAGUUCACACUGUGACGGUAUCUUACCAGAAAGGGACGGCUAACUACGUG